GCGGGCCACCGGGUCCGGGUCGCCACCGGGGCUGGGUCAGUCGGUACCUUCAUGAAGGUCUCUACCGCGCCUUUGGCCGUGUCCAGAUCAUAAUAGUGAUACUGAGAACAACAACAAAAUUAACAAGCAUAAAAUUGGAUAUGAAGUUACUCAAACAAGGUUGUGAUUGCUGCAAGGCAUUUCUGCUAGGCUUUCCUGCAUGACUCGGAACUGUUUGCAAUCACCUCCUCCCUCCCCAGGAGCUGUGGAGCAAAUGGAUGGAGCUAGAAAUAAGUCACCCUUGAGCAAGGUAAGCCAGACCAAAAGACAAGUCUGCUCUGGGGCUCACAGAGUUAGCUGAGCACCUGCCACUGAGCCCUUGGCCUCAGAUACUGUUAACUGAGGCACAGCAGAAGCAAAGGUGAAGUGUUUUCCUAAGGCUCUAAGGUGUCCCAGGCUCUAGUGAAAGUUUUGAGGGAGGGAAAGUGGUCUCUCUAGUUCAUGAUGUUAGAGCAGGUCAUAGCUACAAUGAGGAGAACACAAUUUGGAUGAAGAGAAAACAAGAACAAAAGCUGUCACAGAGAGCUAAGGGGACUGACUGUAAAGUGUGGAGCCAGUGACUUGACCACACUUUGAUGAAGAGGCUGCGGGUCUUCUCUUCAUUGUUUACACAAGCCAUUAGAGCAUCUUCUCAUGGAAACUAUUUGACUCUGCAGUGUUGCUGUUUUGAGCUGACAGAGAAUGGAAGGUGGUCCUUGCAAUGAGAACAGGGUCUGCUGCGGAGACACAGCAAGCUCUUGAAGUAUCUGUUCACCUUAGGAAGUGACAUUAUCUAUUACAUUAUCUAUUAUUGCUUUGAAAAGACUCCUGUAGCUGUACUGUGGGUGGCUUGGAGAGCACAAGGCUGGACCAGUGAGAAACUC
rnacentral:lncRNA from 1 species